AGAAGAUAGCCAAGAAAAGCGACGGUGUUUAAAAAUUAAAAAUCGGAACUCAGCAUUGGCUAUUGUUGGGAAAAAUCAGGAGCUAAGACAGAGUUUUUGGAGAACGCUAAGCAAGUGGGUUGAUAAAAAGUGCUAUGAUGAAAGUUUCGCUGCUCUUCCUGGCUGCUCUUGUAGUGGUACUUCUCCUGCACACCUCACACUACAGCGAGGCGUCUGAAAUCUCUCAAGUACUGAAAAGAGAAAUUCAAGAAUUAAGAGAUGAAAUUGAAAAGAGACGGAAGCGUAAGCCCUGUGGAUUGACGUGGCACUUUGGGAGGUGUAAAGGCCGUGGAAAGCGAAGUUAUUGGGACAAGAGGAGGGGAAUAGCUGACCAAGGAACAUCAUUCAGCUCAUUUGGAUCUGAUGAUAUGGAUGCCUUGUUUAACGAUUGGAUAAAUGAAGAGUAAAGGAUCAUGAUGUAUCUACGCAACAUUAGAAAUAUUUAUUUAGAGUAAAUUAUAGUAAUACUAAAGCAAUCAUCUUGAUCAUAUUAUUUGGCAUGGAGUGGGUAACCAUGCUUUGUUCAAAUUUGUAAACGGAAUCGUGGAAUGUUUCAAGAAAUUUGCCCUCAUUUCUUUACCAUGAAUUGCUUGGAAAAUAUGUAAGAAAAGGGCAUAACCAUAACUAUUACAUGUUACGUUUUCCACUUUGUAACUCUCUAGAGCCCUUGCAGAAAUCUCUCACUUAGCCAAAGUAUCAAAAUUUUAACUAAAUUAAAAUAAAUCAAAUUUAAUUCAAUCUAGUUAAAUUUUAAAAAUGUUAAUUUUAAUUUUAAAAUAUGUAAUGAGGUUGUUUCAUUACUGGUUUAUCAACUAUUGUAAACCGCUGAUAGAAUAGAAAUAAAAUGGGGAUGGAGAAGGUG